rnacentral:tRNA from 1 species
UCCCCGAUGGUGUAAUGGUAACACACUGGUUUUUGGUACCAAUAUUUCAGGUUCGAGUCCUGGUCGGGGAA